rnacentral:rRNA from 1 species
AUUUCAUAGUUUAAAAAAGAGUUUGAUCCUAGCUCAGAAUGAACGUUAUAGAUUAGCUUAACACAUGCAAGUCAAAAAUUAAUUGGCGUACGGGUGAGUAAAGUAUAGAAAUUGAUUUUAGAAAAAUUACGAAAUGUAUGUAAAGAUUAAAUUCAGUCUAAAAAAGUCUAUAUAAGAUUAAGUUGUUGGUAAUAAAAGCUUACCAAGCUUACGAUCUUUAGUUGAUCUGUGAGGACGAACAACCACAUUGGAACUGAAAAACGGUCCAGACUUUAUUAAAAGGCAGCAGUGAGGAAUAUUGGGCAAUGAGCGAAAGCUUGACCCAGCUAGAUCAAGUAUGUGAUUAAAGUAAUUAACUGUAAAACAUAUUUUAAGAUAUAAAUAAUGAUUAUCUGAAAAAAGUCCUGGCUAAUUUCGUGCCAGCAGCCGCGGUAAAACGAGGAGGGCAAACGUUAUUCGGAUUAAUUGGGCGUAAAGGAUAUGUAGGUUGAAUAUUAAUUUUUAAUUUAAAUCUUAAAUUUUAUGUUGAAGGUAAUUAAUAAACUAAUAUUCUUGAGUUUAAGUGAAGAUUAUAGAAUUUUAAAUGGAACGGUAAAAUGUAUUGAUAUUUAAAAGAAUCUCAAUAGCGAAGGCAAUAAUCUAAAUUAAAACUGACACUGAGAUAUUAAAGCAUGGGUAGCGAAAGGGAUUAGAUACCCCUGUAGUCCAUGCCCUGAACAAUGAGUGUUAAUCUUGUGAUUUUAAAUUACGAAAUUAAGUUAAGGCUAAAACACUCCGCCUGGGAACUACGGCCGCAAGGCUAAAACUCAAAGGAAUUGACGGGGACCUACACAAGCAGUGGAGCAUGUGGUUUAAAUCGAUAAUACGCGCAAAAUCUUACCAAUUUUUGUAUAAUUACAGGUGUUGCAUGGCUGCCGUCAGUCCGUGCUGUGAAGCGUUUGGUUUAUUCCAAUAAACGGACAAAACCCUCAUACAUUUUAGAAUGUAAACCGUUGAAGACAUUUCAAAGGAAGGUGAGGAUGACGUCAAGUCUUUAUGACCCUAAUAAAUUGGGCUACUUUCAUGUGCUACAAUGAUUUUCUCAGAAAGUGCGAUGUUGUAAAUCAAAAUUAAACUUUAAACAAAAUCAAGUGCGGAUUGUUUUCUGAAACUCGAAAAUAUGAAGAUGGAAUUGCUAGUAAUCGUAAAUAAGAACGUCACGGUGAAUUUGUUCUUAGGUCUUGUACACACCGCCCGUCACGCUAUGGGAAUUUAUUUUGUUGAAAAACUAACAGUUUAAGAUGAAAAAAGGACUGAAGUGAAGUCGUAACAAGGUAGCCGUAGGGGAACCUGUGGCUGGAUUAUUUUAAUAAAAAAUUCUACUACCC